ACGGGGAGCUUGCUCCUGGGUGACGAGCGGCGGACGGGUGAGUAAUGUCUGGGAAACUGCCCGAUGGAGGGGGAUAACUACUGGAAACGGUGGCUAAUACCGCAUAACGUCUUCGGACCAAAGUGGGGGACCUUCGGGCCUCACACCAUCGGAUGUGCCCAGAUGGGAUUAGCUAGUAGGUGGGGUAAUGGCUCACCUAGGCGACGAUCCCUAGCUGGUCUGAGAGGAUGACCAGCCACACUGGAACUGAGACACGGUCCAGACUCCUACGGGAGGCAGCAGUGGGGAAUAUUGCACAAUGGGCGCAAGCCUGAUGCAGCCAUGCCGCGUGUGUGAAGAAGGCCUUCGGGUUGUAAAGCACUUUCAGCGAGGAGGAAGGGUUUAGUGUUAAUAGCACUGUUCAUUGACGUUACUCGCAGAAGAAGCACCGGCUAACUCCGUGCCAGCAGCCGCGGUAAUACGGAGGGUGCAAGCGUUAAUCGGAAUUACUGGGCGUAAAGCGCACGCAGGCGGUUUGUUAAGUCAGAUGUGAAAUCCCCGCGCUUAACGUGGGAACUGCAUUUGAAACUGGCAAGCUAGAGUCUUGUAGAGGGGGGUAGAAUUCCAGGUGUAGCGGUGAAAUGCGUAGAGAUCUGGAG
rnacentral:rRNA from 1 species